rnacentral:rRNA from 1 species
CUAACACAUGCAAGUCGAACGGUAACAGGAAGCAGCUUGCUGCUUCGCUGACGAGUGGCGGACAGGUGAGUAAUGUCUGGGAAACUGCCUGAUGGAGGGGGAUAACUACUGGAAACGGUAGCUAAUACCGCAUAACGUCGCAAGACCAAAGAGGGGGACCUUCGGGCCUCUUGCCAUCGGAUGUGCCCAGAUGGGAUUAGCUAGUAGGUGGGGUAACGGCUCACCUAGGCGACGAUCCCUAGCUGGUCUGAGAGGAUGACCAGCCACACUGGAACUGAGACACGGUCCAGACUCCUACGGGAGGCAGCAGUGGGGAAUAUUGCACAAUGGGCGCAAGCCUGAUGCAGCCAUGCCGCGUGUAUGAAGAAGGCCUUCGGGUUGUAAAGUACUUUCAGCGGGGAGGAAGGCGAUAAGGUUAAUAACCUUGUCGAUUGACGUUACCCGCAGAAGAAGCACCGGCUAACUCCGUGCCAGCAGCCGCGGUAAUACGGAGGGUGCAAGCGCUAAUCGGAAUUACUGGGCGUAAAGCGCACGCAGGCGGUCUGUCAAGUCGGAUGUGAAAUCCCCGGGCUCAACCUGGGAACUGCAUUCGAAACUGGCAGGCUAGAGUCUUGUGGAGGGGGGUAGAAUUCCAGGUGUAGCGGUGAAAUGCGUAGAGAUCUGGAGGAAUACCGGUGGCGAAGGCGGCCCCCUGGACAAAGACUGACGCUCAGGUGCGAAAGCGUGGGGAGCAAACAGGAUUAGAUACCCUGGUAGUCCACGCCGUAAACGAUGUCGACUUGGAGGUUGUGCCCUUGAGGCGUGGCUUCCGGAGCUAACGCGU